AGAGUUUGAUCCUGGCUCAGGAUGAACGCUAGCGGCAGGCUUAACACAUGCAAGUCGAGGGGCAGCAUAAUGGAUAGCAAUAUCUAUGGUGGCGACCGGCGCACGGGUGCGUAACGCGUAUGCAACCUACCUUUAACAGGGGGAUAACACUGAGAAAUUGGUACUAAUACCCCAUAAUAUCAUAGAAGGCAUCUUUUAUGGUUGAAAAUUCCGAUGGUUAGAGAUGGGCAUGCGUUGUAUUAGCUAGUUGGUGGGGUAACGGCUCACCAAGGCGACGAUACAUAGGGGGACUGAGAGGUUAACCCCCCACACUGGUACUGAGACACGGACCAGACUCCUACGGGAGGCAGCAGUGAGGAAUAUUGGUCAAUGGACGCAAGUCUGAACCAGCCAUGCCGCGUGCAGGAAGACGGCUCUAUGAGUUGUAAACUGCUUUUGUACGAGGGUAAACGCAGAUACGUGUAUCUGUCUGAAAGUAUCGUACGAAUAAGGAUCGGCUAACUCCGUGCCAGCAGCCGCGGUAAUACGGAGGAUUCAAGCGUUAUCCGGAUUUAUUGGGUUUAAAGGGUGCGUAGGCGGUUUGAUAAGUUAGAGGUGAAAUUUCAGGGCUCAACCCUGAACGUGCCUCUAAUACUGUUGAGCUAGAGAGUAGUUGCGGUAGGCGGAAUGUAUGGUGUAGCGGUGAAAUGCUUAGAGAUCAUACAGAACACCGAUUGCGAAGGCAGCUUACCAAACUAUAUCUGACGUUGAGGCACGAAAGCGUGGGGAGCAAACAGGAUUAGAUACCCUGGUAGUCCACGCAGUAAACGAUGAUAACUCGUUGUCGGCGAUACACAGUCGGUGACUAAGCGAAAGCGAUAAGUUAUCCACCUGGGGAGUACGUUCGCAAGAAUGAAACUCAAAGGAAUUGACGGGGGCCCGCACAAGCGGAGGAACAUGUG
rnacentral:rRNA from 1 species